ACAUGCAGUCUGUGGAGAUCCAGAAGCAGUGCUUAACCCGUCUAUCUGGACACUUCUCUUGGCUGUGCUGGAGCAUCAUCCCAUGGGUUUGGCCUGUGCAAGCCUACCUGUGAGUCGGCACUUCUUUAAUAAUCUCAAAUCUCCAGGAUAUUUACUGACAUCUUCAUAUCAUCACUCCAGCCUCAUGAAUGGAGCUAGAAGAUGCCACAAGCACUGCCGGAAACCAGUUGCUGCAGAAUCAGCCGCCAUUCUGGUUCCCUUGUGGCAUAAUUUUGGCCAAUUAAAUGUAAGUGAGGUCUGGUGGAAGGAUCUUCCAUGAAAGAGUUAAAAAAAAGGAAAACUCAGCUCAUAUAGCCUCUUUGGAAAAAUCAGCUCAUAUAUCCCUGCUUGUGAUUCAGUUAAUGCCUAAGGCUAAAGGAUGACCAAGCAGAAUAAAAGCCUUGUUUUUAUUCA
ensembl:lncRNA